rnacentral:lncRNA from 1 species
GGAAAGGGCUGUUAUACAAUGGUCCCCAUCAAACAAACAGCUAAGAAGCAGCUUGUUGGAACCAAAUUUGUUCUAAGCUGUCGGCAUCAAUCAUGAGCAGAUUGUUUUGUCAGAGCACACAGCAGGAUGCGUGUUGGACGUCAAUCAGAGGUGACAUAUUGCAGAAGUGGUGGAGGGACAGUGCAGGAAUGUUCUUAUAGCUGCUUGUAAGGAAAUUCUUUCAGAUGUGAAAGUUGUGACUGAUGGGGGAAGAUAAGAAAGUCAGAGGCAUAUACAGAAUAAAUUGCACGUUCUUCUGUUUUCUGUAAGGAGCUACGAUACAUGUUGGAAUGGUAAACUGACAUUCUCUUGACGUUCCAGGCUAGAGCCACCAGCAUCAGACUGUCCCCUGGAUAUAAAUAAUGUUUUCUACAGAGUGAAAGGAGCUCCACAAAGAGGUACUGACAGAGAUCAACCACAGAAUUGCUGACAGCCUGGUGUUUGUAUUUGAUGGUGGAUUAUGAAGUUCAGA